UACAGAGGGUGCAAGCGUUAAUCGGAAUUACUGGGCGUAAAGCGUGCGCAGGCGGCUUCUUAAGCGUGCGGUGAAAGCCUGGGGCUCAACCCCGGGUCGGCCGUGCGAACUGGGGGGCUGGAGCACUGUAGAGGCAGGCGGAAUUCCGGGUGUAGCGGUGGAAUGCGUAGAGAUCCGGAAGAACACCGGUGGCGAAGGCGGCCUGCUGGGCAGUUGCUGACACUGAGGCGCGACAGCGUGGGGAGCAAACAGG
rnacentral:rRNA from 1 species